UACAGAGGUCUCAAGCGUUGUUCGGAUUCAUUGGGCGUAAAGGGUGCGUAGGUGGCGCCAUAAGUCGGGUGUGAAAUCUCGGGGCUUAACUCCGAAACUGCAUUCGAUACUGUGGUGCUUGAGGACUGGAGAGGAGACUGGAAUUCAUGGUGUAGCAGUGAAAUGCGUAGAGAUCAUGAGGACGACCAGUGGCGAAGGCGGGUCUCUGGACAGUUCCUGACACUGAGGCACGAAGGCCAGGGGAGCAAACGGG
rnacentral:rRNA from 1 species